AAUUUAUAUAAUUGAUGGUAUAAUUUUUACUAGCAAUCAUAUAAAAAAUCAUUGAGUAUAAUUCGCUCAAAACUUUAUAAUUCUAAAACUAUUCAAUUAUCUUUAUUUUUGAGAUACAUCAGUUCUUUUCUUUGAAGCGUUGUUUAAUUUCAUUUUAACAGUAGCUUUACCAGCCUGCCAGUUCCUUUGUCAGCUGUGAAACAGCAACUUUGAGAAACACUAAUUGCAGUGAUGGGAAGGAAAUCAAAGAAGGAGCUGAGUCUUGCCAAUAGGACUCGGGUGGAAAACCAGAAUCUUGAUAAGUUGAGCCGUCUUCCAGAUGAUAUAAUUUAUAUCAUCCUCUCAUUCCUUGGGCCGAAUGACAUUGUUAGACUAUAUGUCGUCUCCAAAAGGUUGAGGCAGUUGUGCAUAUCCAGUCCUUUCUUGUCUUUUGACGUAAAUUUUGAUUCCAAAAGUUGCACCAGCAAGUGUAAUUUGUUCAGAGAGUUUCUCAACAAUCUUUUGACUCUGCAAAAGCAGCUGUGUUCAUUGCAGAUUUCUCGUUUUCAUCUCUUAUUGGUUUUGUCAUCACAAAGAUAAUAGCAAAACAACUCUCUUCAAUAGGUUGCUUGAAAAGGCUACAAGCUGUAACGUUGAAGAGAUUGACAUUAAGCUUGGCCCUGCAACAUGGAAAUCCUUCCCCAUUGCCUGCUUGUGUCUAUGACAGUCAAUCUCUAAGGGUGUUGAAUUUGAUUUGCAGGGUGGCAAACUCAAUUGCCUGCCUAAAGAGUUCGCAUUGCUUGAGGUCUUGUCCCUGACUUCAGUAAAGCUAGCUUCUGGUGGUAUGUUGAGCGCAUGGAUUUCUACUUAUUUCAAAUCCCUUACAACUCUGAAAUUUGAAUUUCAAAUCCCUUACAACUCUGAAAUUUGAAAAAGUUUACGGGAUCAACAAUCUCUUGAAAAUAUCACACAUCAAGGAAAUAAUUUUAAGGUAGACAGGAAUUGGGUAUUAAGGAAUGUGAAACACCCUCAGAAUUGGAAACGUCCGCAUAUUGCCAAAAGAAAGUUCCGCGCUGAUAUUAAUUGUUCAUCUCUUAAAAGUUAAGGAAUUUUCGAAUGCCACUUUGAGGAGUUGCAUCUCUCCAUUGUCAGCCACUCGCUUAAGGAUUUGCAAAUUUUGAAGUGUAACAUUUAGGACCUUUUCAAUAUCAGUGUUGCGGCAGAAGAGAUUCAAACAGUCUGUUGACAUGAUCUUGCACUUCUUCUGCAACAGAAAUGGCAGUUUCAGUAUUGAUUCUGGGAAAUUGAAAUCUCUAAAAAGCGCAAGUCUUAAUCUUGGAGCCAAUCUGCAUGAAGAAUUCCAAGAGAAAGGGUUGGUUCAGCUUCUUGAAAGCAUAAGCUAUGUCCGGACUUUAGAAAUAGACAUUGCGAUUAUCCAGGCACAUAAAAAUUUCCUUUGCAUCUCUUGUUUCAUGGCAGGUAGACAAAACGUACACACCUUUUGAAUUUUUUGCUUUCAAUCCAUAGUUGAAUGGUGUUCACCCACCUUAUCAUCAUUGCAGGCUUUGUAUAUGCAAAAUAUGCAUAUUGCAUUUAACAACCUUCAGCACUUGGUGGUAAAUGUUGACAAAUUGCAACAUCACCACAUUGCAGAAAUUGCCUCAUUUCUCGAGGGGUUGAGAUUGGAUUUGGGUAAUUUGAGAACUCUAACAGUCAGGUGCAGUGAAAGUCAAACUGAAUUUACUGAAUUUGAGGUGGGUGGUUGAAUUUUCUAAACAUCAGUCUCUUUCUCAACUAUAUGACCGUUUUAUAAGAAUACAUGUUUUCUGCUUCUUGCAGUUUGUCAAAUCACUGAAAAUGUAGUUGGACGAUUUGGGAACGAGAAUGACUAAUCUUAAAAUUACAUGCUUGGAACCUCCUAUUGUACAACUAGAGUGGUAGGCACCCAUUCCCAGCUCAAAUUCUCACAAGGACAAUAUUGACUUCCUAUCUCAGACAUGCAAGACUUGUAGAGGCGUAGAGCAGAUAUAAGAUUCAAGUUAAAGUCUAAUCAGGCUCAAAAAGAUUGCUCAGCAGCAGUUCAAUAAGACUUCACUUUCUUUUAUUUUAUAAUUUCUAAGUUUCAUGUUUUCUUUCUCCUGAACUUAUAAUAUAAAAAAUUUUAAUAAAAAAUAUUUUUCAAACUUAAUGGCUUAUCAGUCUUUUUCUUGGGUUUGGUCCUAGGCUUUCCGGUUGGUUCCUUAGAAAGGAAUUCUAGUCUAGUUACUGGGGGGCAUUACAUUAAGCAAGUACAUUCUAGUUUUAGUAGUAGCCAUUUAUUUUUUUUUUUAUUUCUAAACUUGCUUUGGAACAUCCUAUAGUUGACAGUUCACAUGCAAAUGUAUGCAUUUGCAGCUUUUCCCAACAUAUACAGCUGAAAAUGAAUAAUUAAGCUACAUAUAAGAAACAAAAAUUAAGAAAAGAUCAUGUUUAUUACCUUGAGACACUUUCCCACUCGCAUAGAAAUUGUUGGCGUCAACUACAUACCAUACAUUUCAACCAAGAUGUUGUUGCUAAUCUCCUCAUCCUUCAUCAAAUGUGUAACUCCUUCGAAAUCCAAUAACUAAGAUUAAGUAGUGAAAUUUAGAUCACUUCGUUCUUAGAGCAACCCAAAAACGAAAACAGCAACAAUAUGAGAAGUUUUAAAGUAGUAAUAUUUGUGUCAAAGAUCAUCACCUUCAAAAUUCACAAUUGUUUCAUUUUUUAAAGAGGUAAUGGAACAUAAGCACCAAUUUUUUUGAGGGACAUACAAAAAUCCUUGGCAAUUUGACACCUCCAUGAUUAACUGAAACAUGAAAUAGGCAACCACAAAUAUAAUGAGUGGCUAAACAAAAAGAAAUCUUAAGAUCAACCUCAAAGUUAUUAAUAAUGAUCCACCUAUGAACAUCAAAAUUGAAACUCCAAUCACAAAUUUCUCCACUGAAAAAUCCUAUGUUGAGUUAAACAAACCAAAAAUCCAUCUCCAGUCAUGCAUUUCCAUCUCAAAGUAAAUCAAAUAGUAAGAAGUAACCAUUAUUCAUGUGAAGAACUUCCUCAAUAGACUAAAUUAGAGAAAAAAAAAAUCUCAUAACGAGUCAGUUAAUAAAAGAGAAAUUGGUAAAGCGCUCUAAUAUCACAAAAAAAAGAAAAAAGUAUCAGAAAAAUUGUGUCUCAAGCUCUCUUCUUCCGAGGCAGUGCAGGUCUCCUGCCCAUGGCCGAAGUAGUCUUGGCGGAGACUGGCAUCAACCCGCGCAGAAUUGCUAUUACCCCAAAACCCAUAAAGGGAGAGUGAAUCAUCAACAAUUUAUCCGAUGCCUUGCCAGACCCCAUCAGCUCAGCUAAUACAGCAGCCAUGGAAGUGAACAAGGAGGAGCCAUAGAUCAAGCAGGUGGUGCUAAACCAAGGCUUGGAAGCCAAAAUCCCAUACAAAUUGAAAAGUGCGAGAGGCCAUUGAAAGAGGAGCUCGAGCCAAACAACUCCGACGAAGAAAUGGGGCUUCUCAGAGAGGAGAUAGUCGCCGUACUCUUGGCUGUACCACUUCUUUAGAUCGAUCAAGAAGUCUGGGAAGUAGCUGGAUGGGAGACAUGUCUGCGCGUCAAUCAACGGCGCCGCCACCGCGAUUACGAGAAAGAAGAAGAGGAGAACUGCGUCAAUCAACUUCGUAAAUGCGCCCAUUUUUCAGAAGAGAAACCCCUGUAGAGU
rnacentral:misc_RNA from 1 species